rnacentral:rRNA from 1 species
AACGUAGGAGGCGAGCGUUAUCCGGAUUCACUGGGCGUAAAGCGUGCGUAGGCGGUUGGGUAAGUCGGACGUUAAAGCCCCUGGCUCAACUAGGGGAGGUCGUUCGAUACUGCUUGGCUUGAGGAUGAGAGAGGAAAGCGGAAUUCCCGGUGUAGCGGUGGAAUGCGUAGAGAUCGGGAGGAACACCAGUGGCGAAAGCGGCUUUCUGGCUCAUUUCUGACGCUGAGUGCACGAAAGCGUGGGGAGCAAACGGG